GCUACCCUCCCCCAGCUGGCCUUUGCCGGGCGACCCCAGGGGAACCGCGUUGAUGCUGCCUUCGGAUCCUCCGGCGAAGACUUCCACCGGAUGCCCCGGGUGGGCCGGUUGGGAUCAGACUGGACCACCCCGGACCGUGCUGUUCUUGGGGCACACAGAUGAGACGCACGAGAGGGAGAAACAGCUCAAUAGAUACCGCUGACCUUCAUUUGUGGAAUCCUCAGUCAUCGACACACAAGACAGACGGAGUCUCGCUCUGGGCGGGGCGGGGCGAGGCGAGGCGAGGCACAGCGCAUCGCUUUGGAAGCCGCGGCAACGCCUUUCAAAGCCCCAUUCGUAUGCACAGAGCCUUAUUCCCUUCCUGGAGUUGGAGCUGAUGCCUUCCGUAGCCUUGGGCUUCUCUCCAUUCGGAAGCUUUGACAGGCGCAACCCCACCCAGAGGCUGGCUGCGGCUGAGGAUUAGGGGGUGUGUUGGGGCUGAAAACUGGGUCCCCUAUUUUUGAUACCUCAGCCGACACAUCCCCCGACCGCCAUCGCUUGCUCGCCCUCUGAGAUCCCCCGCCUCCACCGCCUUGCAGGCUCAUCUCUUACUUUCAUUUCUUCCUUUCUUGCGUUUGAG